rnacentral:lncRNA from 1 species
CGUGUAACUACCACCAUGAAGAUAUGGAGCAUUUCAAUUAUCUCAGAAAGUUCCCUUAUGGCCUUUUGUUGUCACCUCCAGCCCCUGGUAGCCACUAUCUGUUUUUGUUUCUACAGUUUACCUUUUCCAGAAUGUCAUAUAAAUGACAUGGACUCAUACGGUAUGUAGCUUUUUUUUUUUUUUCCCGAGUAAGACUGGCCCUGAGCUAAUAUCCGUGCCCAUCUUCCUCUACUUUAUAUGUGGGACACCUACCACAGCAUGGCUUGCCAAGCGGUGCUACGUCUGCACCUGGGAUCCAAACCGGUGAACCCCGGGCUGCCGAAGCGGAACAUGUGAACUUAACCACUGUGCCACUGGGCCGGCCCCCAUUUUAGUCGUGGGUCCUUCUAGUUAUGGCAUGUGGGAUGCCACCUAAGCAUGACCUGACAAGCAGUGCCAUGUCCGUGCCCAGGAUCCAAACCCACAAAACCCUGGGCCACCGAAGCAGAGCGCGGGAACUUAACCAAUCGGCCACGGGGCUGGUCCGGAGUCAAGAAGAGGCCCAGUGGGGACAAUUUUGGAGGUCAGCCCAGGCUGAAGUGGAUGGCCAAUUGACACCAAGCGGAACGAUGGACAACCAUGUUAAUAGAUCUCCUGAUUUUCCAAGAGAAGUUAGAAAUUUCUAUUUUUAUAUGAAAUCUCCUGUUUUUAAACGUUGGCAACUGAUUCAAAAUAAUUUUAAACACUUUGAAAGAUAAAUAAAAUGUGUCUGCAGGCAGCCCAGUUUGUGACCUCUUCUUCUAGAAGUCCCCUAGAGAAGACUUAGCAAUAAUUACUCUUCGGAGCCUCCCCAACUUUACCCCAUUCUCACCUCCACCCCUCCCUCAUUAACUCCCUCCCUAAUUAACUGUUCUUUGACCUCAGUUACUAAAGCAAUUUAUAUGUAUGUCUG